rnacentral:misc_RNA from 1 species
GAUGAAGAACGUAGCGAAAUGCGAUAAGUAAUGCGAAUUGCAGAAUUCAGCGAGUCAUCGAAUCUUUGAACGCAUAUUGCGCCCCUUGGUAUUCCAUGGGGCAUGCCUGUUCGAGCGUCAUUUGUACCUUCAAGCUCUGCUUGGUGUUGGGUGUUUGUCUCGCCUCUGCGUGUAGACUCGCCUCAAAACAAUUGGCAGCCGGCGUAUUGAUUUCGGAGCGCAGUACAUCUCGCGCUUUGCACUCAUAACGACGACGUCCAAAAGUACAUUUUUACACUCUUGACCUCGGAUCAGGUAGGGAUACCCGCUGAACUUAAGCAUAUCAAUAAGCGGAGGA